rnacentral:lncRNA from 1 species
GCGCGCUCUGAUGACGUCAGAAGCAUCGGCGCACCAGCGGCGUUUGCGCCACGAAGGGGGCGUGGCUACGCGCUGAGCCCCGCCCACUGGGCGCCGCUGGAGUGCCGCCGGUUCGAAUCCCGGGUGGGACUGCUGAGGUCACGUGAUUCAAAUGUCCCCAAAAUGUCCCCAAAGUGGCACCAAAGUGUCCCCAAAUGUGGUACCAGUGUCCCCAUGAUGCCCCCAAAAGUGGCACUGAAAUGACAUCCAAGUGUCCCCAAAAUGGCACCAGAGUGUCCCCACGAUGUCACCUCGUAGUGUCCCCAAAGCGUCCCCAAAUGUGGCACUAAAAUGCCCCCAAAAGUGUCCCCAAAAGUGUCCCCAUGGUUGUACCAAAAUGUCCCCAAAGUGUCCCCAAAAUGGCACCAGAGCAUCCCCAAAGUAGGCUCUAAAAUGACCCCAAAGUGUCCCCAAAACGGCAGAAAAUUGUCCCCAAAAUGGCACCAGUGUCCCCAAAGGUGGCACUGAAGUGUCCCCAACGUGUCCCCAAAAGUGUCCCCAAAGUGUCCCCAAAUGUGGCACUCAAAUCAAACCAAAGUAUCCCCAGCUGCCACCUCGAGAUGGCACCAAAGUGUCCCCAAAAUGUCCCCAAAGUGUCCCCAUGGUGACCCCAACAACGACACCGAAGCGUCCCCAAAAGUGUCCCCAAUUGUCCCCAAGUGCCACCGCGGUGUCCCCAAGCAGCACACGAUGUCCCCAAAGUGUCCCCAGGACCUUUAAUGCCCCCCAGUGACCCCAAAGUGACACCCGGGGGUGGCACAAUGUCCCCACUGUCCCCAAGGGUGACCCAUCGUGGCCCCAAGGGUGACAUGACGACGUCCCCAAAGUGCCACCAAGGCGUCCCCAAAGAGGCGGCGUGACAUCCGCGAUUGUCCCCAAAGUGUCCCCAAGGGGGUGGCACCUUGUCCCCAAAAUGUCCCCAAGGUGCCCCCCAAGGUGGUGGCACGACGUCCAUGAUUGUCCCCAAAAUGUCCCCAAGGUGUCACCAAGGAGGUGGCACGAUGUCACCAAGGUGUCCUCGAGGUGCCACCAAAGUGUCCCCAACGGUGGCACAACGACGUCCUCAAGAUGUCCCCAAGGUGCCACCAAGGUGUCCUCGAGGUGUCCCCAAGGGUGGCACGACGACGUCCUCAAGAUGUCCCCAAAGUGCCACCAAAGUGUCACCAAGGAGGUGGCACGACGUCCAGAUUGUCCCCGAGGUGCCACCAAAGUGUCCCCAACGGUGGCACAUCGACGUCCUCAAGACGUCCCCAAGGUGCCACCAAAGUGUCACCAAGGAGGUGGCACGACGUCCACUGAUUGUCCCCAAGGUGCCACCAAGGUGUCCUCGAGGUGUCCCCAAAGGUGGCACGACGACGUCCCCAAGAUGUCCCCAAGAUGCCACCAAGGUGGAACCCCCAAAGGGUGGAACGAUGUCACCAAGGUGUCCCCAAGGGUGGCACAACAAUGUCCCCAAGGUGCCACCAAGGUGUCCCCAAGGGGGGGGUGGCACGACAUCCAUGAUUGU